rnacentral:tRNA from 1 species
GCCUUCGUGGUGUAGUGGUCUGCAUGCUCGACUCAUAACCGAGAGGUCCGCGGUUCGAACCCGGGUUCGAUUCCUGGCAAAAGUU